rnacentral:rRNA from 1 species
UACGAAGGGGGCGAGCGUUGUUCGGAAUUACUGGGCGUAAAGGGCGCGUAGGCGGCCCGUUUAGUCAGAUGUGAAAGCCCCGGGCUCAACCUGGGAACUGCAUUUGAUACUGGCGGGCUGAGUUCCGGAGAGGAUGGUGGAAUUCCCAGUGUAGAGGUGAAAUUCGUAGAUAUUGGGAAGAACACCGGUGGCGAAGGCGGCCAUCUGGACGGACACUGACGCUGAGGCGGCGAAAGCGUGGGGAGCAAACAGGGAU